UCCUACGUCAGCCUUCCCUUAACAGCUCCACGUAGGACAUUUGCAGACGUGGAGGCGAGAGAUAGCGAAGAAAGGCCUGAGCCUUCCCUUCCGCAAGGGAACUUCUCUUAUCAAGAACGGGAAGGCAAGUCUUGGCGUUGUAUGACUUGCUUUUCCUUAUCAACGCGUUUGCCAAAUCCAGUGCUCCGACGCGCGAAAUUACUUUGCUCGUUGCGCCAAAUUCUUUCUUCUCCCCGUGCUGAAUCGUCCUAUCUGCAUAUAUCCAUGUUUACUCAGAGGAACCACAAACCCGACCGCUGCCGCCGCAAAUCCAUCCCAGCCGCCACUGCUCCGGCCAUGUCUCGUCGGCCGGCGUGGAAUGGAUCUUCUGCACCUCUGCGCACGCGCGGACAAUCUUCUCCAUCCCCAAUUCCCGUCUAUGCCCUCCACCGCCGAACUAUGCUGGAUUUGGCACCAGCGCCUGGCACGUUUGGUGGGAUGGGUCUGGUGCUAGUAUCCCCAAUCUUUCUCCUCCAGCAGAUUGGGUAAAUGAUGUUCACCCACCUAGAGGUUAUGUCUAAAACACUGCGGUGCUUUUUUUUUAUUGAACAAACACUGCGGUGCUAGAAAUACAAAAACGUAUUUUACAGGAUAAGGUUGAGGCAUUACGGCUCACCCUGGAGGCAGCAAGGGAGAACAAGGAGGCCAAAACAAAAGCAAAAAUGCUAGAGCAAUACACUGAGUGGGGGAGGUACAACUUUUAGAACCAGGGUGCAUGUGGAAUGAAAAACUACAAUUGUGCAAAGAUUUUUUUGUAGUGCUGGCUCUUCACUUCCAGGUCUCUUGAAACUUGGUUGCAAUAUCCAGUGGUUGUUGGUGCUGGACUACCUACUGCGUGUCUCCAGGAGUUUGAAUUGAUUUACAUAUGGAAUUUGUAUCUGUGAUCG